rnacentral:rRNA from 1 species
GGGCCCGCACAAGCGGUGGAGCAUGUGGUUUAAUUCGAUGAUACGCGAGGAACCUUACCAGGGCUUAAAUGUAGAAUGACAGAUUGGGAAACCAGUCCUUCUUCGGACAAUCUACAAGGUGCUGCAUGGUUGUCGUCAGCUCGUGCUGUGAAGUGUCGGGUUAAGUCCCAUAACGAGCGCAACCCCUACCUCUAGUUGCCAGCGAGUAAUGUCGGGGACUCUAGAGGGACUGCCGGUGCAAACCGAGAGGAAGGUGGGGAUGACGUCAAAUCAUCACGGCCCUUACGUCCUGGCUACACACGUGCUACAAUGGCAAGUACAGACGGCCGCUAACCCGCGAGGGGGAGCUAA